rnacentral:rRNA from 1 species
AACGAACGCUGGCGGCAUGCCUAACACAUGCAAGUCGAACGAGACCUUCGGGUCUAGUGGCGCACGGGUGCGUAACGCGUGGGAACCUGCCCUUAGGUUCGGUAUAACUCCCCGUAAGGGGUGCUAAUACCGGAUAAUGUCUUCGGACCAAAGAUUUAUCGCCUUUGGAUGGGCCCGCGUUGGAUUAGCUAGUUGGUAGGGUAAAAGCCUACCAAGGCGACGUUCCAUAGCUGGUCUGAGAGGAUGAUCAGCCACACUGGGACUGAGACACGGCCCAGACUCGUACGGGAGGCAGCAGUGGGGAAUAUUGGACGAUGGGCGAAAGCCUGAUCCAGCAAUGCCGCGUGAGUGAUGAAGGCCGUAGGGUUGUAAAGCUCUUUUACCCGGGACGAUAAUGACAGUACCGGGAGAAUAAGCACCGGCUAACUCCGUG